CCUACGGGAGGCAGCAGUGGGGAAUAUUGGACAAUGGGGGGAACCCUGAUCCAGCCAUGCCGCGUGUGUGAAGAAGGCCCUCGGGUUGUAAAGCACUUUCAGUGAGGAAGAACGCCUGGUGGUUAAUACCCAUCAGGAAAGACAUCACUCACAGAAGAAGCACCGGCUAACUCCGUGCCAGCAGCCGCGGUAAUACGGAGGGUGCGAGCGUUAAUCGGAAUUACUGGGCGUAAAGCGCGCGUAGGUGGCUUGAUAAGCCGGUUGUGAAAGCCCCGGGCUCAACCUGGGAACGGCAUCUGGAACUGUCAAGCUAGAGUGCAGGAGAGGAAGGUAGAAUUCCCGGUGUAGCGGUGAAAUGCGUAGAGAUCGGGAGGAAUACCAGUGGCGAAGGCGGCCUUCUGGACUGACACUGACACUGAGGUGCGAAAGCGUGGGUAGCAAACAGGAUUAGAUACCCGUGUAGUC
rnacentral:rRNA from 1 species